AUGGAGACUGUUCUGCAAGUACUCCUAGGGAUAUUGGGGUUCCAAGCAGCCUGGGUCAGUAGCCAAGAACUGGAGCAGAGUCCUCAGUCCUUGAUCGUCCAAGAGGGAAAGAAUCUCACCAUAAACUGCACGUCAUCAAAGACGUUAUAUGGCUUAUACUGGUAUAAGCAAAAGUAUGGUGAAGGUCUUAUCUUCUUGAUGAUGCUACAGAAAGGUGGGGAAGAGAAAAGUCAUGAAAAGAUAACUGCCAAGUUGGAUGAGAAAAAGCAGCAAAGUUCCCUGCAUAUCACAGCCUCCCAGCCCAGCCAUGCAGGCAUCUACCUCUGUGGAGCAGACACACAGCGAUCUUCAGGCCUCUAUCAGCUGUCUCCAAACCUGCAGCUGGGCCACAUAUGCUCUUCUGACAUGGGGCUCCUGAGAUGUGGCUGGGACCUUUGCCAAGACAUGAAGCCUCAGAACGUUGCAAUUGUCUUAUUGGAAAAAUGGGGAGGAGAGUAGGAAUGAUACAAGGGGGAGCUAUAUCACUAAUCCCAAAUUUAAUUUGACUUUAUUGUCUGGUAGUUAUGUUACUUUUUAGUAGAUAGAACAUCAA